UGUGUUACCUGUUGGGAGGCGGCCACGGCUCCGGCUGCUUGGACACUCUGCUCCGGAUCGGCACCAGACCGUUGGGCGCGCGGGGUUAAAGUUGACUCUGUUUUGGGGGCGGGCGCGAGCUCGAGCUCGAGCUCGGAGCCGGAUCGACCCAGAACCGGGAGUGAGAUCAGCGCCAAACUGGAUUCUCAUGCACUCUUGGAGAGCCGCUGUCACUCCCGACGUGCGGACGGAGAGGGACGGACGGAUCUCACUCACUCACAAACACUCCACUUCCGAAGAGUGACAGAUACCGGGAAGGCCGCCCGACAGGACCGGGGAGGGGAGGAGGGGGAAGUUAACGGCGAGCGGUGGCCCAGGGCCGGUGAGAAAGCUGAGCAUGAACUCUGAAGUACCCUUGACAGACUGGAAAACAGGUUGAGUCUCCUUUAUAAUGUUUAACUGUGAAUGGGCGUGGUACUUGAUAGACAUCCAUGGUAAAAGCCCAUUUCGUCAUGAAACAUUUGAAGAAAUGGAGGCAGAGCAUGUGAUGCUGAGGUCAGUGAAACAAUAUCAGCUGUCCCAACAGCCUUGGAUGCACCUGGACCCACAGACCCCACCACAGGUGCUCGAUUGUGCUUCUUGAGAGCGAAUCCACAGAAAGCAAAUGGCCUAGAUGGAGUCACCGGUUGAGCACUCAGAUCCUGUAUGGACCACUAGUGGGAGUAUUGGCUGACUCUCCUUACUAUGAUUUGAAAUGCCCACCUGCUUCAAGAAGACCACCAUCAUCCCAGUGCCAAAGAAAAAUCAUGCAGCACAGCCUACCGCCCGGUGGCUCUCACCUCCAUAAUUAUGAAGUGCUUCAAGAGAUUAAUUGUGGUUGACAUCAACUCCAGCCAACCAAAUUGCCUUGAUCCUUUGCAAUUUGCCUACAUCGCAAUAGGUCCAUGGCAGAUGUCAUCUACCUGACCCUAAACUGAUCCCUGGAACAUCUCGGUAACAAAGAUCCCUAUGUCAGGUUCCUAAUUAUCAACAACAGCUCUGCUUUCAACACCAUAAUUCCAAACAAAUUCAUCUCUAAACUCCGAAACCUAUGCCUGGCUGUAACUGGAUCUUCAAUUUCCUGACCCACAGACUGCAAUUGGUAAGAAUUGCCGACAACACCUCCUCUUCAAUAAUCCUCAACACCUGCAACGUUGCAUACUCAGCUCCCUCCUACACUCCUUAUACACUCAUGACUCUGUGGCCAAAUUCCAUCCAAAUUGCGUUUAUAAGUUUACUAAUGGCACCACCAUUGUAGGUCACUUUUCAAAAAAACGAGAGUACAGGAAAGAGAUUGAGUGCUUAGUGGCAUGGUGUCAAAAAAACAAGCUCUCCAUCAAAGUCAGCAAAGUCAAGGAACCGGUCAAUGACUUCAAGAAGCAGAGUGGAAGGCACACACCGUCUGCAUAAAUGGUGCUGAGGUGGAGAUGAUCGCAAGCGUCAAGUUCCUGGAGUGAUGAUUAACAACAAUCUCUCCUGGUCCACACCCAGCCAUGCGACUGUCAGGACCUCAACUUCCUCAGGAGUCUAUUGAAAUUCAGCAUGUCCACAAAGACACUGACCAAUUUUUAUGGAUGCCUCAGAGUGAUAUGGCAACUGCUCUUUCCAAGAUCACAAGAAACUAUAGAGAGUGGUGAACACGGCCCACUCCAUCAUGCAAAUCAUGACUCCAUCCAUUGACUCCAUUUCACUGCCUCGGGAAAGCAACUAACAUAAUCAAAGACUCCUCCCAGUCUGAUUAUACUCUUUUCCACCCUCUUCCAUGAGGCAGAAGAUGUAAAAGUUUGAAUACAAACAGAUUCAAAAUCAAUUUCUUCCCCACUGUUAUCAGACUUUUGAAUGGAUCUCUCAAAUGUCAAUGUUGAUAUCUCUGCACCUUCUCUGUGACUGUAACACUGUAUUCUGUAUUCUGUUCUGUGACCUUGAUACGCUUUGAAUGGUAUGAUCUGCCUGUACAGUACAUAAAACAAAACUUUUCACUCUACCUCGGUACACGUGACAAUUAAUCAAACUCAAAAUAAAGAUAGAACAAACUA